rnacentral:rRNA from 1 species
CGGUGGCUACAGCGGAGGGGCCACACCCGUUCCCAUUCCGAACACGGAAGUUAAGCCCUCCAGCGCCGAUGGUACUUGAAGCGAGAGCUUCUGGGAGAGUAGGUCGCUGCCG